rnacentral:snRNA from 1 species
AUACUUACCUGGCAAAGGAGAUACCGUGAUCAAGAGGGCGGUUCACCCAGAUCGAGGCUCAGCCAUUGCACUCCGGCUGUGCUGACCCCUGCGAAUUUCCCAAAUGUGGAAAUCUCGAUUGCAGAAUUUCUGGUAUUGGGGACUGCGUUCGCACUCUCCCCUG